rnacentral:rRNA from 1 species
GACAGAGGGUGCAAACGUUGUUCGGAAUUACUGGGCGUAAAGCGCGUGUAGGCGGUCUCGCAAGUCGGAUGUGAAAGCCCUGGGCUUAACCCAGGAAGUGCAUUCGAAACUUCCGAGCUCGAGUCCUGGAGAGGGUGGCGGAAUUCUCGGUGUAGAGGUGAAAUUCGUAGAUAUCGAGAGGAACACCGGUGGCGAAGGCGGCUACCUGGACAGUGACUGACGCUGAGACGCGAAAGCGUGGGGAGCAAACAGG